rnacentral:rRNA from 1 species
AGUUGCGAAGGCGGCUCUCUGGACUGUAACUGACGCUGAGGCACGAAAGCGUGGGGAGCAAACAGGAUUAGAUACCCUGGUAGUCCACGCUGUAAACGAUGAGUACUAGGUGUCGGGGGUUACCCCCUUCGGUGCCGCAGCUAACGCAUUAAGUACUCCGCCUGGGAAGUACGCUCGCAAGAGUGAAACGCAAAGGAAUUGACGGGGACCCGCACAAGUAGCGGAGCAUGUGGUUUAAUUCGAAGCAACGCGAAGAACCUUACCUAAGCUUGACAUCCCAAUGACAUCUCCUUAAUCGGAGAGUUCCCUUCGGGGACAUUGGUGACAGGUGGUGCAUGGUUGUCGUCAGCUCGUGUCGUGAGAUGUUGGGUUAAGUCCCGCAACGAGCGCAACCCUUGUCUUUAGUUGCCAUCAUUAAGUUGGGCACUCUAGAGAGACUGCCAGGGAUAACCUGGAGGAAGGUGGGGAUGACGUCAAAUCAUCAUGCCCCUUAUGCUUAGGGCUACACACGUGCUACAAUGGGUAGUACAGAGGGUUGCCAAGCCGUAAGG